GGACACAGUCCCACAAGCUUUAAUACAUAGUGCUAUUCUUCAGCAUUGUGGUUGGAGAAGUCAGUAUAUUUCUCAGCAGAGACUUUGUCAUGGUGAUCUAUCUCUCCGUGGCCUUAAGGCCAGAUUACUACAACACACCUUGCAAAACCAACCCCAGGCUAGAGCUGCUCGAGGGACCUCACCUGGGGAAGCUGGAGAAUCCUGAGCUCAGCAAAUCACAUAAGAGCAUGUUGGAGCAAGAGAGGGGGAACAUUUCCUGGCAGAGAGACAGACAAGACCUGUGAGAGCUGCGAGGAGGCGAACACCAUUUCUAGGGAGAACUGUAGGCAGAGAGGACAUAUGGAGAAGAAGACAAAGGGUAAGAAAGCAGAGAUGAUAACACUGCUGCAAACUCUAUGGGUCCCUUCCACAGCCUUUCUGGAGGGUCAGGGCUAGGACCAGCUCUGCUGCAGCCAUCACUACCAACAGCCUGGAAAGCUGCAGGUGAGCACUUUAUGAAGGCUCUCCCCACCAGAAUGCCUGUCAGGAGGAGUAUUAAUCAUGAAAUAUUAAAACACACAUAUAAAAUGUGUGUAGACACACACACACACACGUUUACAGUCUCUCUAUGUAUAAACCUUAUCGCUUACAAAGGGCUAGGAUUUAGAAUGUAGUUUAGCGGCCCAGUGCAACCCAAUCCUAUAAAUAAUACAUUCCUAUCACUAUGACCUCAAAAUGUCAAUACCGCACAGCCCUGCGCAUUUGCAUAUCUUGUACUGUCUAAACUUGAAGCAUGUCAGCUAUGUGCUUCUGUUUGUACUUUAACUUCAUUUUAGCUCUGGCUUCCUAGCUC